UCCAGAACAACCAGCAAGAACUUCAAUAUCGCCUGAAACUCGGUGCUUGUGUUCCUUUUGGCACUAUUAACUUGAACAAAAAUAGAUCCAGUAAAUUUAGUCAAGUCAAUGUUUAUUUAUGCAAAGGAUGUUCCCUUUUAUGGCAACAUCCUUUGCAAAUAUGUUUUCAGUUUUUAACUGUUGCAAUGAGGUGGCUGAAAACCACUUUUGUUAAUAGUUUUACUUGAUCUCUGCUUCAGCUGGUGCUUUAACUUUUCUCUCAUAUGUUGACUUUCUAGUGAGUUUCUUGGUAAAUUUUAGUGUUUUUGUGUUUAGAUUUUU